UACCAGCUCUCCGAGUGGUAGGGAUGAUUAUUGGGCUUAAAGCGUCCGUAGCCGGCUUAGCAAGUCUCCUGUUAAAUUCAGCGACCUAAUCGUUGAGCCGCGGGAGAUACUAUUAGGCUAGGAGGCGGGAGAGGUCAACGGUACUUCUGGGGUAGGGGUGAAAUCCUAUAAUCCCAGGAGAACCACCAGUGGCGAAGGCUGUUGACUAGAACGCGCUCGACGGUGAGGGACGAAAGCUGGGGGAGCGAACCGGAUUAGAUACCCGGGUAGUCCCAGCUGUAAACGAUGCGGGCUAGGUGUUGGGGUGACUACGUGCCACUUCAGUGCCGCAGGGAAGCCAUUAAGCCCGCCGCCUGGGGAGUACGGCCGCAAGGCUGAAACUUAAAGGAAUUGGCGGGGGAGCACCACAAGGCGUGAAGCUUGCGGUUC
rnacentral:rRNA from 1 species